CAUUUCAGCUAUCCUGCGGGCCUCCUCCUCCUCAGCACUCAUCUGCCCCUCCACCCCCUCUGUGGGAAGAAGGGAGGAAGGGAAAGAGGGAGAGAUGAUGUGACACAAUAAGGACACCAACGAGCGAGUUUGAGAGCUGCUUGCAAGAGGAGGGGAUUAACGCCGACGUGUGGCCCAGUUUGUGUUAUUGAUCAACUGCCAACAGAGUAGCAACAGCAGCUACUCCAACCAGAGUUCAUCUUACAGAAAUAACGCAGAAACUGAGCCAAUGUGGGAUUGUAUUACAGCCACAAGUCUCUUCUCUCUAUAGCAAAGAGAGGGUAUAAUACUCUGGUGGUCCACAAAGAGCUUUGGAAACACUUUGAGGCUUCUAGCCAGGCUCACUGUGCUGAGUCUGUGUUCAUGUCUGCUAUAAGUGGCAUUUUCUCGUUCGUCCCUUCUGCUCAGGAGAAAGAGAAAGGGAAAAUAAAGAGACUGAGAUGUAUGGAGGCAGUGUGUGUGUGUGAGUGUGUUUGUGUGUGUGUGUGAGCGAAGAGCAGGCAGAGAUUACAGCCCUCCCCUCUUCUCACAGGCAGCCCAUGUCUAAUUAUGAAUAGACUGUAAGAGUAAAACAGCAUAUGGCAACCAUC